rnacentral:lncRNA from 1 species
UUUUUUUAUUUUGUCCACAUAUUAGCUAUGAUAGACAAGAGAUGGAAUAUUUAUUUAAAUAAGCAAAAGUGAUGUUGUCAGGGAUAAAAAUACCAGUUCAAAGCAGAAUUAGUACUACAAGUAAAAUAAAAAAAGGCAAAAUCAUGGCCUUAAAGAAAAAUGAUGCAACAUAACAAAAGUCUAGAAAACACUACACAUGCAGGGCCGUAACUACAUUGAGGCAAAUGAGGCAAAUGCCUCAUGUUAGAAAUUUAAAAAAAAAAAAAAAAUGAAACAAAAGAUUGUCUUAAUAUCAAAUUGUUUUCACGGAAAAUGUCUAACAAGAAGCAAGUUCUCUUCACUCUCUGGUGUCGCCCCCGCAUGUUUUUCGUGAUCCAUGUUUCUUUUUUACUUUUAGUUUUCAGAGUUGAUGGUACUAUUGUUUGAACUUCUGUGUCUUGCUCAUUUAUUGUCCUACUUUAUGACAAUAGUCUGAGUGUUGAUUUUCAUUUGUAAACGUGCAGUUUUGCAAUGUUGCAUGCCCACCGAUGUCCAGAU